ACUGCGCAGGCGCACCUGUACUUUGUUAAAGACGCUGGCCUGGACAGACGUGGCCAGCGCGUCCCUCCAGUCUCUCUGCCGGGGCGAGCGUGGGGGAGAAGGGAGAAGGACUUUUCCGAUCCGACCCGCAGGCACCACUCGCCGCGGUGCCCUCCAGAAAGGAAAGGUUCUCAAGGCAUCCCCCAAUCCUCUGCUUCAGCCCAGGAUGAAAAGGCACUGGAUUCUCAAACAGCUUCUUCUCAGAACUGGUUGAGAGAAACAAAGUUAACCAGCCAUCCCACCUAUCCAGAAUUGCUGAGUGAAGCAAAAGAAAGGAAUGGAGAGAUAAGAAAGAGCAGAAAGCCAGUGACAGAAACAGGGUGAAAAUAUUAAGGAGGAAGAGCCAGUAAUUGAAAACAUUACAGCUGAGGAACAGAAACUAACUAAAGUCCAAUAAAGGAGCAAUCCAUUGGCCACACUUCACAGGAUGCGAUCAGCAUAGAAAGUCAUGAGUAAAGUUGUGCCCUCAAGUCGGUGCCAACUCCUGGCGACCACAGAGCAAUGUGACUCAGAGCCAUGUGACACAGGAGCUCCGCUUCUGCUGUCCCAACCAUGUGAUCUCUCCGGAGGGAGGGAGCAAUCUGAGCUGCUCUGUAGAAUGAAAGAAACACAUGACGGUUUCGAGUCCAACUUCCCCUGGAGAGGAGCCUGGGCUGUUGCUCCCACUGACUUACCUGCAGGAGUUGAGCCGCUGGCUGCUGGCACUUCUUCUCCAUCCCCAGGAUGGUCCCUUCGAGAGAGGAGAGCUCCUCGGAGAGUCUGGCCAAGUGCUCCUCACUCCUUGCUGCAAUCUCCCUCUCCAGCUCUUCCAUCUGGGCCAGCAGACGUUUCUCCUGUUCUUCUAAAAACUGGUGCAUUUGUCUGAACUCAACCACUGCUUUCUGCUUCGCUGUUCCUGUUUGCUCCUGCAGUAAGCAGAUGGAAAAAGGAGGAGAGCAGGCCAAUGGUAGGAGGAUAAUCAGCCACUGCAGUGUCUUACGAGAAUCCCAUUGGAGAUUCUCGUAAGGGAUCUCCAAUGGGAUCUUACAAGGGAUCUUACGAGAAUCCCAUUGGAGGAGCACCUUCUGACUUCUAUCAGCAUUAAUCAGGGAAAGAGCUUCAUCGUGGGAGAUCAGACCAUUCCAAAUAACUGACGUAUCUAGGAACAAAGCUACCUCCUGCUUUUUAUUCAUUCAUUCGAUAUUUAAUGGUUAAUAUUCACAGCGAUGCUCAUGGAAAAGAGCGUUUUCAGUUUGUGGUGUUCACACAGUUCCACAAUCACGAAUGGAAAAGGUACCACCCAAAUGCAUGGUGUGCAAGCAGUAGGCACAUAUAUGGGCCUGUACAAGCAAUUGUGUGAGAGGUUGUGGAUAAAUUGCCACAUGUUGUGCUAGUGCACAAAUGAGAAUGUAACAGGCAAAUUUAUUUGUGUAGUUAUGUUGGGCUAUGUCCAUAUGCUUGAGCAACUGCAUUUAUAAAUAAGAGGACUUAUUAUACUUAUAUCAUGUCUACAUUUAUUUAUAUAUUUAUAAUAAAUAAGAGUACUUAUUUAA